rnacentral:misc_RNA from 1 species
UCUAGAUAAGUUUCGUCUUUCGGGAUUGAUGUUAUUCCUAAACGUAUCGCACUCUUCGAAUCUAUCCAGAAUCAGCAACGCCUUCAACGACUUGCGCUCUCCCCUGAUCCUAUCAAGAUUGAGUUAGUGGAUGGGACAAUUAAGGAGGGAAAGAAAUGGAAUACCACUCCAUUGGAUAUAGCAAAGGAGAUAUCGAAGAGCUUGGCUGCAAAUGCGUUGAUUGCGAAGGUGAAUGGGGUGCUUUGGGAUUUGUCGAGGCCGUUGGAAGGCGAUUGUAAGCUAGAGAUCUUUAAAUUUGAAACUGAUGAGGGACGCGACACAUUUUGGCACUCGAGUGCUCACAUUCUUGGAGAGUCGUUGGAAAGGACAUUUGGAUGCAAAUUGUGCAUUGGACCGUGUACAACAAGAGGAGAGGGGUUCUAUUAUGAUGCCUUUUAUGGUGAUCUGGGAUUAAAUGAGGAUCAUUUUCAACGGAUAAAGGAGGAGGCAACAAAAGCUGUUUCGGAGAAACAACCUUUUGAACGCAUUGAAGUUUCACGGCAGCAAGCUCUUGAUAUGUUCUCUGAUAAUAGGUUUAAGGUUGAAAUCAUUAAGGAUUUACCUGAAGAUAAAACAAUCACAGUAUACAGAUGUGGACCGUUGGUUGAUCUUUGUCGUGGUCCCCAUAUACCGAAUACAUCUUUUGUUAAAGCACUAGCCUGUACAAAGGCUUCAUCAGCAUAUUGGAGAGGAGAUAAGGACCGUGAAAGCUUGCAAAGAGUUUAUGGAAUAUCUUUUCCAGAUCAGAAACAGUUGAAGGUAUACCUAGAUAUGCUGGCGGAAGCAAAGAAAUACGAUCACAGAGAGCUGACUAAGAAGCAGGAGCUUUUCUUUUUUCAUCCAUUAAGCCCUGGAAGUUGCUUCUUUCUUCCACAUGGUGCUCGUAUUUGCAACAAACUGCUGGAAUUCAUAAAGAGUCAGUAUUGGAAGAGAGGCUACAAGGAGGUUUGGAGUCCAAAUAUGUACAACAUGCAAUUGUGGGAGACUUCUGGUCAUGCUGCAAAUUACAAGGAGAACAUGUUUGUGUUUGAGAUUGAAAAACAAGAAUUUGGGCUGAAGCCAAUGAAUUGCCCAGGUCAUUGUUUGAUAUUUGAUCACAGAGUUCGUUCUUACAGGGAGCUACCACUUCGUCUGGCUGACUUUGGAGUUCUACACAGGAAUGAAGCCAGUGGUGCACUCACUGGCUUAACGCGUGUCAGGAGAUUCCAGCAGGAUGAUGCCCACAUCUUCUGCAGGGAGUCACAGAUUAAGGAAGAAGUCAAGGGUGUCUUAGAUUUCAUUAGCUAUGUGUAUGAGAUAUUUGGUUUCACUUUUAACCUGAAGUUAUCAACGAGGCCUGAAAAAUAUCUUGGGGACUUGGAAAGUUGGGAGAAGGCUGAAGCUGCUCUUGCAGAAGCAUUGAACGAGUUUGGGAAGCCGUGGGAGAUCAACGAAGGAGAUGGAGCAUUUUACGGUCCAAAAAUUGAUAUCACUGUUUCAGAUGCAAUGAAAAGGAAAUUUCAGUGUGCAACAUUGCAGCUUGAUUUCCAACUUCCUCAACGAUUCAACCUGUCAUACUCAGCAGAAGAUGAAAGUAAGAGGGAGAGACCAGUUAUGAUACAUAGAGCUAUACUUGGAUCAGUUGAGCGCAUGUUCGCUAUUCUCUUGGAGCAUUUCAAGGGGAAAUGGCCUUUCU